UACGGGGGGAGCAAGCGUUGUUCGGAUUUACUGGGCGUAAAGGGCGCGUAGGCGGUCGUGACAAGUCACUUGUGAAAUCUCCGGGCUUAACUCGGAACGGUCAAGUGAUACUGUCGGACUAGAGUACAGAAGGGGCAACUGGAAUUCUUGGUGUAGCGGUGAAAUGCGUAGAUAUCAAGAGGAACACCUGAGGUGAAGACGGGUUGCUGGGCCGACACUGACGCUGACAGCGCGAAAGCCAGGGGAGCAAACGGG
rnacentral:rRNA from 1 species